CCGGGUGGCGAGUGGCGGCGGGUGAGUAAUACAUCGGAGCAUGUCCUGUUGUGGGGGAUAGCCCGGCGAAGGCCGGAUUAAUACCGCACACGAUCUACGGAUGAAAGCGGGGGACCUUCGGGCCUCGCUCUAUAAGGUUGGCCGAUGGCUGAUUAACUAGUUGGUGGGAUAAGGGCCUACCAAGGCCACUAUCAAUCUCUGGUCUGAGAGGAAGACCACCCACUCUGGGACUGACACACGCCCCACACUCACACGGGAGGCAGGAGUGGGGAAUUUUGGACAGUGGGCAAACGCCUGACCCACCCAUGCCGCGUGUGUGAAAAAGGCCUUCAGUUUGUAAAGCACUUUUGUCCGGAAAGAAAUCCUUGGCUCUAAUACAGUCGGGGGAUGACGGUCCCGAAAAAAAAAACACCGGCUAACUACGUGCCAGCCCCCGCGGUAAUACAUAGGGUGCGAGCGUUAAUCAGAAUUACUGGGCAUAAAGCGUGCGCAUGCGGUUUGCUAAUACCGAUGUAAUCUCCCCGGGCUCACUCUGGGAACUGCCUUGGUGACUGGCGCGCUAGAGUAUGGCAGAGGGGGGUAGAUUUCCGCGUGUAGCAGUGAAGUGCAUAUAUAUGUGGAGGAAUACCGAUGGAGAGCGAAGCCCCCUGCGGAAUACUGACUCUCAUGCA
rnacentral:rRNA from 1 species